rnacentral:rRNA from 1 species
AUUGAACGCUGGCGGCAUGCUUUACACAUGCAAGUCGAGCGGCAGCGCGGGGGCAACCCUGGCGGCGAGCGGCGAACGGGUGAGUAAUGCAUCGGAACGUGUCCCGUAAUGGGGGAUAACGCCGCGAAAGCGGCGCUAAUACCGCAUACGCUCUACGGAGGAAAGUGGGGGAUCCGCAAGGACCUCACGUUAGGGGAGCGGCCGAUGUCCGAUUAGCUAGUUGGUGGGGUAACGGCCUACCAAGGCGACGAUCGGUAGCUGGUCUGAGAGGAUGAUCAGCCACACUGGGACUGAGACACGGCCCAGACUCCUACGGGAGGCAGCAGUGGGGAAUUUUGGACAAUGGGGGCAACCCUGAUCCAGCCAUGCCGCGUGCGGGAAGAAGGCCUUCGGGUUGUAAACCGCUUUUAGCCGGGAAGAAAAGGCGCGAGUUAAUACCUUGCGUUUUUGACGGUACCGGCGGAAUAAGCACCGGCUAACUACGUGCCAGCAGCCGCGGUAAUACGUAGGGUGCGAGCGUUAAUCGGAAUUACUGGGCGUAAAGCGUGCGCAGGCGGUUCGUUGUGUCGGUGGUGAAAUCCCCGGGCUUAACCUGGGAAUGGCCAUGGAAACUGGCGAACUGGAGUGCGGCAGAGGGGGGUGGAAUUCCGCGUGUAGCAGUGAAAUGCGUAGAGAUGCGGAGGAACACCGAUGGCGAAAGCAGCCCCCUGGGCUAGCACUGACGCUCAGCACGAAAGCGUGGGGA